GCCCGGUAAGCUCAGUUGGUAGAGCAUCAGUUUUUUAAUCUGAGGGCCAUGGGUUCGAGUCCCAUAUCGGGCU
rnacentral:tRNA from 1 species